UACAGAGAACAGUGAUCACGCCACUGCACUCCAGCCUACAUGACAGAGUGAGACCAACCAAUCUUGUCAAAUAGUUACUUCUAGCAAUACUAAUUAAAUCCAUCCAAAGUUUCAAAGAAGACUUUAAGGUGAUCAUCCAAUUUCACUGCCAGUAGAAUUAUCUAGUCUAAUUUCCAUUCACCAAUUUACACUAGGAUUCUUUUUCAAAUACAUACCACCCACUCCCUGGCAUUUCAGUUUUAAAAGCAAAAGCUCAGUGGAAAGAGCAGGCAUUGGAGUUACAAAAGUACAAAAAUUAUCUGGUGUGGUGGUGUGCACCUGUAGUUCCAGCCAUCAGGAGGCUGAGGCGGGAGGACUGCUUGAGCCCAGAAGGCAGAGGUUGCAGUGAGCCGAGAUUGUGCCACUGCGCUCCAGCCUGGGCAAUAGAACCAGACCCUGUCUGAAAAAAAAAAAAAAUUAUAUGGGGGUAUAAGGAACCCAGAACAGGAUAAAACAAUCUUGAAAAUGAAGAGCGUAUUUGGAGGACUCACACUUUCCAAUUUCAGAACUUACUACAGGCUGGUUCAUGCCUGUAAUCCCAGCACUUUGGGAAGCCAAGGCAGACGGAUCACUUGAGGUCAGGAGUUUGAGACCAGCCUGACCAACAGCGAAACCCCAUCUCUACUAAAAAAAAAAAAAAAAAAAAAAAAUUAGCUGGGGAUGGUGGCACACACCUGUAGUCCCAGCUACUCAGGAGGCUGAGGCAGGAGAAUUGCUUGAACCCGGGAGGCGGAGGUUGCAGUGAGCCGAGAAUGUGCCACUGCACUCCAGCCUGGGUGACAGAGUGAGAGUCGGUCUCAAAAAAAAAAGUAACUUACUACAAAGCAGUAGUAAUCAAGACAGUGUGAUAUUAGCAAAAAGAUAGAUAAAUAGCUAGAAAUGCAAGUUCAGAAACUCAUAUCUAUGGUCAAUUGAGUUUUUAAAAAUUACUUUUUAAAACAAAAAACCCCAUAUGCAAGCAUAUGGUCAAUUGUUUUUUGACAAGUGUGCCAAGACCAUUUAAUGGUCAACUAAUGGUGCUGGCAUAACCAAAUAGCCACAUGCAAAAGAAUGAAGUUGGACCUCCUCCUUACACUGCAUACAAGUAAAAAGAUACACUUUUAGAUAAGCCUAGAUUAAAUUCCAGCCCUGACACUGCAAAUCUGGGUAGAUUUCUUAAUCCCUCCUUCCCUUCACUGUAGAAAGCAUAUAAUAGUUAUUGUGAAAUAUUAUAGUGAUUAAGUGAAACAUAUCGGAGGCAGCUUUCUCUGCAUUAAUCUUUCAGGCACAUACUUUUUCCCCAAAAAGCUACUCUUCAAGGGAGGAAAUCCAGGUACAAGUGGCUCUAUCAAUAUGCUUGGUCAUUUUUUAAAUAACAGCUUUAUUGAACUGAUUGGUCAAUUUUGUCUCCAUUAGAAUUCUUGCCAAACUGUACUGCUGUCUUUAUUGGACAGUUAAGAUACAGUUUAACGUUUUCAGGCCGGGCGCGGUGGCUCACGCCUGUAAUCCCA
rnacentral:lncRNA from 1 species